CUGGCGGCGUGCCUAACACAUGCAAGUCGAACGGAACUGUUUUGAAAGAUUUCUUCGGAAUGAAUUUGAUUUAGUUUAGUGGCGGACGGGUGAGUAACGCGUGAGUAACCUGCCUUCGAGAGGGGGAUAACAUUCUGAAAAGAAUGCUAAUACCGCAUGACAUAUCGGAACCACAUGGUUCUGAUAUCAAAGAUUUUAUCGCUUGAAGAUGGACUCGCGUCCGAUUAGUUAGUUGGUGAGGUAACGGCUCACCAAGACCGCGAUCGGUAGCCGGACUGAGAGGUUGAACGGCCACAUUGGGACUGAGACACGGCCCAGACUCCUACGGGAGACAGCAGUGGGGGAUAUUGCGCAAUGGGGGCAACCCUGACGCAGCAACGCCGCGUGAAGGAUGAAGGUUUUCGGAUUGUAAACUUCUUUUAUUAAGGACGAAAAUUGACGGUACUUAAUGAAUAAGCUCCGGCUAACUACGUGCCAGCAGCCGCGGUAAUACGUAGGGAGCAAGCGUUGUCCGGAUUUACUGGGUGUAAAGGGUGCGUAGGCGGCUUUGCAAGUCAGAUGUGAAAUCUAUGGGCUCAACCCAUAAACUGCAUUUGAAACUGUAGAGCUUGAGUGAAGUAGAGGCAGGCGGAAUUCCCCGUGUAGCGGUGAAAUGCGUAGAGAUGGGGAGGAACACCAGUGGCGAAGGCGGCCUGCUGGGCUUUAACUGACGCUGAGGCACGAAAGCGUGGGUAGCAAACAGGAUUAGAUACCCUGGUAGUCCACGCUGUAAACGAUGAUUACUAGGUGUGGGGGGUCUGACCCCUUCCGUGCCGGAGUUAACACAAUAAGUAAUCCACCUGGGGAGUACGGCCGCAAGGUUGCAACUCAAAGGAAUUGACGG
rnacentral:rRNA from 1 species